GAUUGAGUACGGCCGCAAGGCUGAAACUUAAAGGAAUUGGCGGGGGGGCACACAAGGGGUGGAGCCUGCGGCUCAAUUGGAGUCAACGCCGGGAACCUCCACCGGGAGCGACAGCAGGAUGAAGGCCAGGCUAAUGACCUUGCCAGACACGCUGAGGGGAGGUGCACGGCCGUCGCCAGCUCGUGCUGUGAAGUGUCCUGUUAAGUCAGGCAACGAGCGAGACCCCCGCCCUUAGUUGCUAUCCCAUAGGAGACUAUGGGGGCACACUAAGGGGGCUGCCGCCGCUAAGGCGGAGGAAGGAGGGGGCCACGGCAGGUCAGCAUGCCCCUAAACUCCCGGGCUGCACGCGGGCUACAAUGGUGGGGACAGCGGGUUCCGACCCACGAAAGGGGAAGGCAAUCCCUGAAACCCCACCGUAGUUGGGAUUGAGGGCUGCAACUCGCCCUCAUGAACCUGGAAUCCCUAGUAACCGCGCGUCAUCAUCGCGCGGUGAAUACGUCCCUGCCCCUUGUACACACUGCCCGUCGCUCCAUCCGAGAGAAGGGGAAGGUGAGGCCCCUUCCCAUAGGGAAGAGGUCGAACCUUCCCCUCUCGAGGAGGGAGAAGUCGUAACAAGGUAGCCGUAGGGGAACCUGCGGCUGGAUCACCUCAAUCACUAGU
rnacentral:rRNA from 1 species